CUGCGGCCUAUCAGCUUGUUGGUGAGGUAAUGGCCCACCAAGGCGAUUACAGGUACGGGCUCUGAGAGGAGAAGCCCGGAGAUGGGUACUGAGACAAGGACCCAGGCCCUAUGGGGCGCAGCAGGCGAGAAAACUUUGCAAUGUGCGAAAGCACGACAAGGUUAGUCCGAGUGAUUUCUGCUAAAGAGAUCUUUUGCCAGUUAUAAAACCACUAGUGAAUAAGGGGUGGGCAAGUUCUGGUGUCAGCCGCCGCGGUAAAACCAGCACCUCAAGUGGUCAGGAUGAUUAUUGGGCCUAAAGCAUCCGUAGCCUGCUCUGUAAGUUUUCGGUUAAAUCUAUACGCUCAACGUAUGGGCUGCCGAAAAUACUGUAGAGAUAGGGAGUGGGAGAGGUAGACGGUACUCAGUAGGAAGGGGUAAAAUCCUUUGAUCUAUUGAUGACCACCUGUGGCGAAGGCGGUCUACCAGAACACGU
rnacentral:rRNA from 2 species